rnacentral:rRNA from 1 species
AUUGAACGCUGGCGGCAGGCCUAACACAUGCAAGUCGAACGAGUGGCGGACGGGUGAGUAAUGCCUGGGAAACUGCCCGAUGGAGGGGGAUAACUACGGGAAACGGUAGCUAAUACCGCAUACCAUCAGAUGCGCCCAGAUGGGAUUAGGUAGUUGGUGGGGUAACGGCUCACCAAGGCGACGAUCCCUAGCUGGUCUGAGAGGAUGACCAGCCACACUGGAACGGAGACAGGGUCCAGACUCCUACGGGAGGCAGCAGUGGGGAAUAUUGCACAAUGGGCGCAAGCCUGAUGCAGCCAUGCCGCGUGAAUGAAGAAGGCCUUCGGGUUGUAAAGUACUUUCAGCGGGGAGGCGUUACCCGCAGAAGAAGCACCGGCUAACUCCGUGCCAGCCGCCGCGGUAAUUC